rnacentral:rRNA from 1 species
GCAACUCGCCUACACGAAGCUGGAAUCGCUAGUAAUCGCGGAUCAGCACGCCGCGGUGAAUACGUUCCCGGGCCUUGUACACACCGCCCGUCACACCAUGAGAGUCUGUAACACCCAAGCCGGUGGGAUAACCUUUAUAGGAGUCAGCCGUCUAAGGUAGGACAGAUGAUUAGGGUGAAGUCGUAACAAGGUAUC